GGCCUCCAGGUCCUCCUCGGCUUGCUGCACCUCGGCUCCGGCGGCAUCCUCGUCUCCUUCGUCAGUAAGCCGGUGGAGAUGCUGACCAUGGAGUCCUGGUACCUCUUCUGGGGKGGAAUCUUGUUCAUCUCCUCCGGCUCCUGCUCCGUGGCGGCAGAGAAGAACAAGGGCGUCUGCGUGGCGAAGGGCUGCGCGGCCCUCAACGUCGCCAGUGUCCUCGCCGCGGUGGCGGGCGUCGUCCUCCUGCUCUGGGACCUCAGCCUCUGCGACAAGCUCCGCUACGGGCCCGCGCUGCAGCAGGAGCUGCGCUUGGCUAGGGGGCUCUUGGGCAUCCUGCUGAUGUUCACGCUGCUGGAGACCUGCAUCACCCUCAUCUGCACCUACUUUGGGUGGCAAACCCAGCUGGUUACCUCCGCGCAGGUGAGCCCCGCGGCGGCCAGUCAAGGAGGGGGAGGCGGGAGGACUCCUGCCACCGGCAGCGCCGGAGGGAGAAGGGGCUCCGGGGACGGCGAUGUGGGCCCCCCCAAACCCCUGCGGAGGCGCCACGUGGGACAGCACAGCAUCGACAGCCGCCCGAGGAGCAGGUCCAACCUAGCAGGACCUGGCGCUGUGGGCUGGCCAGCGAGGGCAAGGAGUGACGGGCUUCCUUGCUCCGCAGGCUGCAGAUUUCACCCCCAACUUCGUACCUCCGCCCGUGGCGGUGCUGCCGCCUCCGCCGGCUUACGACGAGAUAUGUGUGAACACAAACAGACAGGCCACGUAGGGGAGGGGGGGGAUUUGGAGACGGCACGGCCCUGAGCCGGUCCCCUGCUCCCCUCUUCUUCGUGAGACCUGUCUCUCCCUCCCAGCUCCACCGAGCGCGCUGGCCGCACGGUGGCUUUCCGAGCGUCGGAUGCGGAGCCCGGACGGAGCCCGGCUGGCUGCACCCCCAGCCCUGUCUGCAGGGCUGGCACCACGGCCCCCGCAUCAUCCCCUCCCGCCAGGGAUGGCAUCCUCAAUAAAACCCUGAGAGCCGGACA
rnacentral:lncRNA from 1 species